ensembl:lncRNA
AGUAUCUUUUCCCUUUUCGUGAACAGAGAGAGGGAAUGACUUUGCAGGAGAGGCUGAAUGACUUACAAAGAAAUAUAAAAUUUUCUUCUCUAGUUCUCUGUUAAAUAAUGUCAUUCAUUAAACAAGAAGGAUACUACAGAAAAUGGUAGUAGACCUGUCAAAAUACCUUAUGCUUUUGUUAGCACUGGGAUAUUCUCACAGACUUCGUGUAACUAGUAUAAUAUUAUUGAUAUUCUUAAGUAAACCUGUGUUUUAACUUCUGGUAAAUUUGACUGUUGACAGCACUUGGGAGGAAGUAUUAACAUAGAUCAUAUAUCAUCACUUUUUUUUUUAGAUGUAACUUAUUUCCUUAAUCUUAAUUCUUCAUUCACAGUGUUUGUAGAAUUACUACCAUAAUGUAGAGAGCCGCAGAACCUCAUAGACUGAACUCCUUUUUGUUUUGUGUUUUUUUGACUGCCUUAUGCAGCAUGUUGGAUCUUAGUUUCCUGACUAGGGAUCCAUCCUUCGAGCCUUAACCAUUGUACUGCUAGGGAAGUCCUGAUUGAACUUUGGUUUGAGUAGUGAGACUUAUGCUCAAAUUCUGGCUCUAUUAGUUGUGUGAUCAUAGGCAUUUCUUGAGUGUGUUGCCGUAUGUUGGAGGAAAUGAAGACGAUGCCUAGCUUGUCUACCUUUAAGACUGUUGUGGGUAUAAUGAGAAAGUUUCUCUUUUAUUGUAAAGCACAGUAUCAAAGUGCUUAAGACUCUGUUCUGCCCCUUAAUUAGCUGUUAGGAUUUGAACCUACAACUAUCUCCCACCCCAAUACCCAGGAUAUUCAGGUGCCUUUCAAUAUAUGCUGUAGGUGCAUUUACAAUGUAUAGGUGAAUCACCUUUGAUUCAAGAUUACAGGUUUUUCCACACUGAGUUCUGGGUUUUCCAGUGUUUUCCAACAUGUUUUAUUUCAGUCUUCCUAGAUUUCUUUAAUUUGCUCAAUAGACUAGAACUUUUACUACAGAAAUAAACAUGGUUAGUUGACAUAUAAUUAAGAAUAGUUAAUGGUUUGUUUACAAGCCACUAGACUCCUUGAGUCUGCCUUUUAGCUGUUAGAAAGUGAUUUUAGAUUUUGCCUUUGGAAAGGGAAAAAUACUCUGAUUUUAUCCUCUCUAAGUAAGUAAGUUCCUUCAAGUUGACGUACAAAAUUGUAAUGACUUUACAGCCAAGGGAAAAAGGUCAAAAGACCCCAAACUGAAAAAUGUACCUAGUCCUAAAUAUUUCUGGAUGAAGUCUUUUGAUGUUGAGUCUGGGAAAAUAGAAAUAGAUACUAUAGUCAAGAGAAAUUUGGAGAACUCUAUUAAAGUUUUCUUCUUUUAAUUUUUUCCUGAUGUAGUCCAUUUAUUGAACUUAGAAUACUAAUAGAGGCCUUUAAAGUAUCCUUAGGCAACAUACCUCCUACACAAUGGCUUUUCACAUUCAUUCCAUCACUGUAAAAUGGGAGCUUUAAGACUUAACGAAAGCUUUAAGCUUUGACUCUCUCACUUGGUACUGUAUUUGCUUAAAAACGCAUUUUUGAAAGAGUUUUUAUGAGAAGGUUUAUGUGUUUGGGAAUCAAGAUUUUCUACUGAUAAUUCAAAUGUGAAGUUGAGUUUGUAAGUCAUUGGGCAAAUGUGAAUUUUUAUCAAUAACUUUGAAUAUAGGUUCCAUGUGGAGUUAAAUUGGUGUUUGUGAAAGAUAACUUAUAUGUUUGUAGGAUAUAAUAACACCAUUGCUCAAAUAUUAAUCCUUAUAACUUUAUUGUUUUGUUGUAUCUUGAUAAAAUCUGUAUAAUUCUUCAUACUUUUCUUUGAAUAGACUUUUCAGCCUCAGUUCAGUUCAGUCUCUCAUUUUUGUCUGACUCUUUGUGACCCCGAGGACUGCAGCACGCCAGAACUCCUCAAUUAAAAUUGAAUAAAAUCAUUGAUUUAAUAAACUAGUUACACUUUUAAAAAGAAUACUCCAUGAAAUAAACACUACCUGAAUAAAAUUGAAAGUUCAUUAUUUUACUAAGUUUGAAAUUUUCAGCAGAG